CCUACGGGAGUCAGCAGUGAGGAAUAUUGGUCAAUGGACGAGAGUCUGAACCAGCCAAGUAGCGUGAAGGAUGACUGCCCUAUGGGUUGUAAACUUCUUUUAUAUGGGAAUAAAAUGUUCCACGUGUGGGUUUUUGUAUGUACCAUAUGAAUAAGGAUCGGCUAACUCCGUGCCAGCAGCCGCGGUAAUACGGAGGAUCCGAGCGUUAUCCGGAUUUAUUGGGUUUAAAGGGAGCGUAGGUGGAUUGUUAAGUCAGUUGUGAAAGUUUGCGGCUCAACCGUAAAAUUGCAGUUGAAACUGGCAGUCUUGAGUACAGUAGAGGUGGGCGGAAUUCGUGGUGUAGCGGUGAAAUGCUUAGAUAUCACGAAGAACUCCGAUUGCGAAGGCAGCUCACUGGACUGCAACUGACACUGAGGCUCGAAAGUGUGGGUAUCAAACAGGAUUAGAUACCCCAGUAGUC
rnacentral:rRNA from 1 species